AUACGGAGGGUGCAAGCGUUAAUCGGAAUUACUGGGCGUAAAGCGUGCGCAGGCGGUUUGUUAAGUCAGAUGUGAAAGCCCCGGGCUCAACCUGGGAACUGCAUUUGAAACUGGCAAACUAGAGUGUGGUAGAGGGAAGUGGAAUUCCUCAUGUAGCGGUGAUAUGCGUAGAUAUGAGGAGGAACACCAGUGGCGAAGGCGACUUCCUGGACCAACACUGACGCUCAUGUACGAAAGCGUGGGUAGCAAACAGGAUUAGAAACCCUAGUAGUCC
rnacentral:rRNA from 1 species